UACCAGCACCCCGAGUGGUCGGGACGUUUAUUGGGGCCUAAAGCAUCCGUAGCCGGUUCUACGUAGUCUUCCGUUAAAUCCAACUGCUUAACAGGUGGGCUGCGGAAGAUACUAUAGAGCUAGGAGGCGGGAGAGGCAAGCGGUACUCGAUGGGUAGGGGUAAAAAUCCGUUGAUCCAUUGAAGACCACCAGUGGCGAAGGCGGCUGCCAGAACGCGCUCGACGGUGAGGGAUGAAAGCUGGGGGAGCAAACCGGG
rnacentral:rRNA from 1 species